UAAGUAGAUCGCCUUAUCGAUUCUAAUGUAUUUAGGGUAGGAAAGUCCGAACACCAUAGUGCAAUCAUAGUGGCUAACAGCCAUCCGUCGAAAGAUGAGGAAAAGUGCAACAGAAAGUAUGUACAGGUCAUGCUGUAGUGAAACCAGGUAAACUCUAUGUGGUGCAAUGUCAUGUAUACCAACGUUUGAGGGCUGCACGCUCGAUUGUUGGAGGGUAGGCAGCUAAAGUCUGCUGGUAACAGUAGACGUAGAUAAAUGAUAAGGGCAUUUUGUUUUAGAAUGUAUGUUCUAAUGAGCAAAAUGUACAGAAUUCGGCUUAUAGAUUUGCUUAAAAA
rnacentral:RNase_P_RNA from 1 species